rnacentral:rRNA from 1 species
AACGAACGCUGGCGGCAUGCCUAACACAUGCAAGUCGAACGAGAUCUUCGGGUCUAGUGGCGCACGGGUACGUAACGCGUGGGAAUCUGCCCUUUGGUUCGGAAUAACAGUUGGAAACGACUGCUAAUACCGGAUGAUGACGAAAGUCCAAAGAUUUAUCGCCAGAGGAUGAGCCCGCGUAGGAUUAGCUAGUUGGUGUGGUAAAGGCGCACCAAGGCGACGAUCCUUAGCUGGUCUGAGAGGAUGAUCAGCCACACUGGGACCGAGACACGGCCCAGACUCCUACGGGAGGCAGCAGUGGGGAAUAUUGGACAAUGGGCGAAAGCCUGAUCCAGCAAUGCCGCGUGAGUGAUGAAGGCCUUAGGGUUGUAAAGCUCUUUUACCCGGGAUGAUAAUGACAGUACCGGGAGAAUAAGCUCCGGCUAACUCCGUGCCAGCAGCCGCGGUAA